GUGGCUGUAGCUCAGCGGCAGAGUGCUUGCCUAGCAUGCGUGAGGCACUGGGUUCCAUCCUCAGCACCACA
rnacentral:tRNA from 1 species